CAAAGAAUAGAUCUAACCCAUUGUGACAACUCUUACCUAAUUAGAAUGCAAUGACUAUAAAUUCAUUUUGGAUAUGUAGCUUGGGCUUGGACAGGGACACAGACAUGAGAGUCCAAGUCUAGCAAACUAAGCAGUUUUAUAAGUGCACAUGCAUGUGUUAGCAUGUGUGUGUAUCUAUGAUCUAAGCUGAUUAAAAAAGGGCAGCCCAGUGCACUGAUCUCCCUAUUUAAGAAAACAUUAAAGUCACUGGUGGCCAUGAGAAUUUUUAUAUGCUGUAUACUAUUGUCUAUUACAGCUGUAUCUGUGAGUAAUUUCAGUGCUUAGUAACAUAAGAGUGGCUCCUCAUCUUCUGUUUACUCGUACUCAAGGGUGGAGCUUAGUGGUCAACGAAGUAGGUUCAGAUUCAUGAGGUCUCAGGUUCAAACCUGAGUAGAAACACCAGGUGAUUUCUUUCCAUCAAAGUUACUGCCAUGUGACCAGGUGGUCACGGGUUCAAGCUUUGGAAACAGCCUCUGGCAGAAAUGCAAGGUAAGGCUGUGUACAAUACACCCUUGUAGUGGAGCCCUUCCCCGGACAUCACGCAUAGCGGUCGCUUUAGUGUGCCAGACUGCCCUUUUUUUUGUCCCAUCCUUAGGUGGAUGGAGUUAUUUGGUACCUGUUGCUGGUGCGAGGUGUAAGGUAUUCCAUCGAAUUAAUAGACGUAUGAGCAAGCUGGCCCGGACAACACUGUUAUAAAAAAAAGUUUUUCUUUUUUCUCUUCUUGAUCGGUUUGUAGAGUUUCAAAUUUGUGUCCUGGAUUCUGCAGAGAAGUAUAUUGGAGAAUAUAGUUCUGCUGUAUAUAGUUAGAUUGCUUAUUACAACUGAUACUUAGAAAAUAUAAGUUGCUCUUGUAUUAGAUAUAACUUCCAAAUUCCAGGUAAAUGUUGAUUUAUAGUCAAUGAAUGCCAACUAUUCCUUUUCCUAUCAUUAUUCACCUUAUCAUUUAAGAUGCUUCUUUUUCCUUUAAACUGUGACAUCGUACAGCCUUGUUUUGGCUUACAAAAUCAACAUAUAAAAUCCCAUGCUAAAUAACUGUCCGUAGAUGUAAUCUAAAAUUUCAGUGGAAUAGCCUAAUGAUGUCUGUUAUUACGAAUCACAUUUCACUUUAUGAAUGGACUACUUGACAACCAAACAUAUGAAAUAUUUUAUCAUGUUUAUUUUUUUUUUCCUAUGAUAUAUCUAAAAUAUUAAGAUUUACUAGUCAUAGUGUGUGUUAGGAAAAUGGACCUUAGGCCUUACUCAAUUCCAAAAGCCAGUUCAUAAGAAGAUAAUUGCCCGACCCUAUAGAGUCAACAACCCAUUUCCUCAACUAAUAAGGGAAACUUAACACCCCCUCGCACACCCAAGGUUGGAUAUUUGGAGUGGACAAGAUAAUACGGGGGUAAACCAGGAUUUGGUUUGGCUGUGUGUGGUGCCAUGUUAUGAAAAUAAUUUUGGAUUUAAAUCAACCUCAAAAGCUAGCUCAUGAGGUGAGGAUUUCCUAAGGCCAUAUAAAGAGACAACAAUUCAGUCCGUCAACGAAUGUUUGAUGCUAACAAUGUGAUAAACCCCUUACGGCCAGCUUUAACUUCCACUUGUGUUGUCGUAGAGCCAUUCUAUGCCUCGCUUUGCUUCAGUCAAAAUAUUUGAUCUCUAUGAUCAUUCUCUUCUCCUCCAUCAUUUCGUUUGUUUUUCCCUCGUCUUUCCCUUGUCUUUCCCUUGAAACUUGAUCUUAUGUCUCAUCUUGCUGGUGAAGAAAGUUGAAGAAACUACUGAACGGCUUAUAGCUGCUCUCAAAGCUGAGAAGGAAGAGUUAGAGUCAUCUUUCAGCAAAGAGAAGUUGCAAACGCUUCAGCUGAAGCAAGACUUGACUGAUGCUGAGGGGCGCAAUACCGAUCUGUAUAAGGAGCUCCAAUCUGUACGUGGUCAACUUGCUUCUGAACAAUCAAGAUGUUUCAAACUGGAGGUCGAUGUUGCGGAGCUAAGACAAAAGCUACAGGCUCUGGAAAGCUUAAAGAAAGAACUUGAGCUACUCCAACGACAAAAGGCUGCAUCAGAGCAAGCCUUGAAUGAGAAGCGAAGGCAGAGCUCUGGU